rnacentral:rRNA from 1 species
UUCCGGUUGAUCCCGCCGGAGGCCAUUGCUAUCGGAGUUCGAUUUAGCCAUGCUAGUCGCACGGGUUUAGACCCGUGGCGAAAAGCUCAGUAACACGUGGCCAAACUACCCUAUGGAUCGAAAUAACCUCGGGAGACUGAGGCUAAUUUCGUAUACCGCUCCUGCACUGGGAUGUGCGGAGCUCGAAACGCUUCGGCGCCAUAGGAUGUGGCUGCGGCCGAUUAGGUUGACGGUGGGGUAACGGCCCACCGUGCCCAUAAUCGGUACGGGUUGUGAGAGCAAGAGCCCGGAGACGGUAUCUGAGACAAGAUACCGGGCCCUACGGGGCGCAGCAGGCGCGAAACCUUUACACUGCACGACAGUGCGAUAAGGGAACUCCGAGUGCGAGGGCAUAGAGCCCUCGCUUUUGUACACCGUAAGGUGGUGUACGAAUAAGGGCUGGGCAAGACCGGUGCCAGCCGCCGCGGUAAUACCGGCAGCCCAAGUGAUGGCCGAUAUUAUUGGGCCUAAAGCGUCCGUAGCUGGCCGGACAAGUCCGUUGGGAAAUCCGCGCGCUUAACGCGCAGGCGUCCAGCGGAAACUGUCCGGCUUGGGGCCGGAAGACCUGAGGGGUACGUCCGGGGUAGGAGUGAAAUCCCGUAAUCUCGGACGGACCGCCUGUGGCGAAAGCGCCUCAGGAAGACGGACCCGACAGUGAGGGACGAAAGCCAGGGUCUCGAACCGGAUUAGAUACCCGGGUAGUCCUGGCUGUAAACGAUGUCCGCUAGGUGUGACGCAGGCUACGAGCCUGCGCUGUGCCGUAGGGAAGCCGUGAAGCGGACCGCCUGGGAAGUACGUCUGCAAGGAUGAAACUUAAAGGAAUUGGCGGGGGAGCACUACAACCGGAGGAGCCUGCGGUUUAAUUGGACUCAACGCCGGA